GUAGGGGGCAAGCGUUGUCCGGAUUUAUUGGGCGUAAAGAGCGUGUAGGCGGCCAGACAGGUCCGUUGUGAAAACUCGAGGCUCAACCUCGAGACGCCGAUGGAAACCGUUUGGCUAGAGUCCGGAAGAGGAGAGUGGAAUUCCUGGUGUAGCGGUGAAAUGCGCAGAUAUCAGGAAGAACACCCGUGGCUAAGGCGGCUCUCUAGUACGGUACUGACGCUGAGACGCGAAAGCGUGGGGAGCGAACAGGAUUAGAUACCCUGGUAGUCCACGCCGUAAACGAUGGGUGCUAGGUGUGGGGGGUGUCGACUCCCUCCGUGCCGAAGCKRACGCAUUAAGCACCCCGCCUGGGGAGUACGGCCG
rnacentral:rRNA from 1 species